UAGGGAAUCUUCGGCAAUGGGCGAAAGCCUGACCGAGCAACGCCGCGUGAAUGAUGAAGGCCUUCGGGUUGUAAAAUUCUGUUAUAAGGGAAGAACGACUUUAGUAGGAAAUGGCUAGAGUGUGACGGUACCUUAUGAGAAAGCCACGGCUAACUACGUGCCAGCAGCCGCGGUAAUACGUAGGUGGCGAGCGUUAUCCGGAAUUAUUGGGCGUAAAGAGCGCGCAGGUGGUUGAUUAAGUCUGAUGUGAAAGCCCACGGCUUAACCGUGGAGGGUCAUUGGAAACUGGUCGACUUGAGUGCAGAAGAGGGAAGUGGAACUCCAUGUGUAGCGGUGAAAUGCGUAGAUAUUGGGAGGAACACCAGUAGCGAAGGCGGCUCUCUGGACUGUAACUGACGCUGAGGCACGAAAGCGUGGGGAGCAAACA
rnacentral:rRNA from 1 species